GCAGUGGUGGUUCAGGGGUAGAAUUCUCGCCUUCCAAACAGGAAAUCCGGGUUCGAUUCCUGACCAGCGCA
rnacentral:tRNA from 1 species